UCCCUGGUGGCUCAGACCUUAAAGUGUCCACCUACAAUGUGGGAGACCCAGGUUCAAUCCCUGGGUAGGGAA
rnacentral:tRNA from 1 species